rnacentral:rRNA from 1 species
CGGCGGACGGGUGAGUAAUACAUGGAUAAUCUGCCUUUAGGACCGGGACAACCCAGGGAAACUUGAGCUAAUACCGGAUAAGACCACAGAAUCUCCGGAUUCAGUGGUAAAAGGUGGCUUCGGCUAUCACCUAGGGAUGAGUCCAUGUCCCAUCAGGUAGUUGGUGAGGUAACGGCUCACAAAGCCUAAGACGGGUAGCCGACCUUAGCGGGUGAUCGGCCAUACGGGGACUGAGACACGGCCCCG